UGUCAGGGAAGAAAUACUAAGGGCUAAUACCCUGGGGUGAUGUUACGGUACCUGAAGAAUAAGCACCGGCUAACUACGUGCCAGCAGCCGCGGUAAUACGUAGGGUGCAAGCGUUAAUCGGAAGGACUGGGCGUAAAGCGUGCGCAGGCGGUUCUAUAAGACAGAUGUGAAAUCCCCGGGCUCAACUGGGAACUGCAUUUGUGACUGUAGAGCUAGAGUACGGUAGAGGGGGAUAAUAAUUCCGCGUGUAGCAGUGAAAUGCGUAGAUAUGCGGAGGAACACCGAUGGCGAAGGAAUCCCCUGGACCUGUACUGACGCUCAUGCACGUUUGCGUGGGGAGCAAACAGGAUUAGAUACCCUGGUAGUCCACGCCCUAAACGAUGAACAACUGGUUGUUGGGAGAAUUCUUCUCAGUAACGAAGAACGCGUGAAGUUGACCGCCUGGGGAGUACGGCCGCAAGUGAAACUCAAAGGGAGACGGGUACCCGCACAAGCGUGGAUCAAUGUGGUUUAAUUCGAUGCAACGCGAAAAACCUUACCUACCCUUGACAUGU
rnacentral:rRNA from 1 species